rnacentral:rRNA from 1 species
CAGUCGCCGCGGGAAUACAGAGGGUGCGAGCGUUAAUCGGAAUUACUGGGCGUAAAGCGCGCGUAGGUGGUUUGUUAAGUUGGAUGUGAAAUCCCCGGGCUCAACCUGGGAACUGCAUCCAAAACUGGCAAGCUAGAGUAUGGUAGAGGGUGGUGGAAUUUCCUGUGUAGCGGUGAAAUGCGUAGAUAUAGGAAGGAACACCAGUGGCGAAGGCGACCACCUGGACUGAUACUGACACUGAGGUGCGAAAGCGUGGGGAGCAAACAGGAUUAGAUACCCCUGUAGUCCCUGUCUCUUAUAA